UUGAAAGCGUCGCUCCUCGUUGUGUGCGUACAAGCCGAGUGAAAGUUUGUUGAUGGCGGACAUCUCGCACAAUAACCGUGUUUCGUUACUUCAUCCAUAAUUAUCAGAUAAAUAGGCUAACGUCUCACCGUGUAUUAUUGGAAGACGUUACAAAACUUAAUGCCAAGCUCUACAAAGCCGUCCAAACAAGGUACCUGCCGACUGGCAGUUAGCGGCGGAGGAACAUGUUAGCAUUAGCAGCUAGCAAUACAAUCGGCAUCAAUUUUAAUGAUGAGAUCAUGGAGAAAAAAAUCAGUGACUUCUCGAUGCACUUGGACUGCUUUGAUGUCGUCGUUACUGGUGAUGAAAAUUGGCCCGUUUCUCCGUGAGUUGCUCCGCUCACUUUCACUGGGAGCUCCCCAGUUUAAUUGCAACCGUGCCUACGCUUCGAGCGCAAAGCCAUCAAUAACCAUCCUUGUAACACGAAGACAGCCCAGAUACAAAUCACAUUUGGACAAGAGGAGUGAAGAAACAGGUGGGGAGGAAAUGGAGUCCGGGGGAGUCAUUUCCCAUCAUGUCCAAGUUAUUGAUGACCCUCAGCCUGACUGGGAAGCCUGCUAGCUGCUUUCCAUUCAGAUUCUCGAUUCCACAUUCAAUUGAAAGCCUGGCGCAGUUCUUCCUGGUGAUUGGGGUUGUUUUUACAGCGUCUACCUGCAUCAAACCUUUUUAGUCCAACAUUUUCGAGGCAGUACAUUUGCAUUUCGAUGCUUUGUCAGAAAAGAGCCAGGACGGGUGUCACAAAAGAUAUAUUUCAAACACAAACUACAAGUUUUCCCCUUCAAUGUAACACCUGUAAAAUAUUUAAGCGUGACCUCAUCACGAUGCAGCCAUUCAACGUUUUCCACAUUUCACGUAUAUUCAUGUCCUCCGUCCAUUCAUUAAUCACUGCCUGCCUUCCCAGUUAACAUGGAUAUUUGACUACUAAAGCCGUCAAUGGCAGUGAAUGUGUUAAGCAAUGAGGAAAAUGAUGAGACUGAAUUUACAGUGUUGACAUAUGGGGCAAUACAUAUAAAACCAACAAUUACCCUAUUUUCAAGUUACAGAAAAGAGAUAUAAGAAUUAUGAAUCCAAUUUAAAUAUAUAGAACCAACAAAUUCAUUAUUUAUCAAAUGAAAUACUUGAUAUUUAGUUUAAUUUUAAACAGCACAAAUAAUGUGCAAAGUACACAAUGAUAUACUUUGCCACAGUAUUCAAAAGCUGUUUGAAAUUAGAGUUGUUGUGCAUUUCUGUUAGAGGUGUUAUUUUGUGGAACGAUUACGAAAAUGAUCUGAAAAUGUGUGGUUCAUUUACACUUUUUUAAAGUAUGUUUAAAACUAAAGUACCGGUACUAGAAAAAUAUAGGAAUUAGUCAUAAA